AUUUAAGUAGUUUAAAAAAAAUAAUAGUUUGUGGGGCUAUAGAUGUAAGGUUGUACUUUAAAUA
rnacentral:tRNA from 1 species